rnacentral:rRNA from 1 species
GACAGAGGAUGCAAGCGUUAUCCGGAAUGAUUGGGCGUAAAGCGUCUGUAGGUGGCUUUUUAAGUCCGCCGUCAAAUCCCAGGGCUCAACCCUGGACAGGCGGUGGAAACUACCAAGCUGGAGUACGGUAGGGGCAGAGGGAAUUUCCGGUGGAGCGGUGAAAUGCGUAGAGAUGUGGAGGAAUACCGAUGGCGAAGGCAGCCCCCUGGGCCUGCACUGACGCUCAUGCACGAAAGCGUGGGGAGCAAACAGG